rnacentral:tRNA from 1 species
GCAGCUAUGGCGGAACUGGUAGACGCGUUGGACUCAAAAUCCAAUUCCCUUACAGGAGUGUGGGUUCGAUUCCCACUAGCUGCA